GACGAACGCUGGCGGCGUGCUUAACACAUGCAAGUCGAACGAAGUGGCGAACGGGUGAGUAACGCGUAAUCAACCUGCCCUUCAGCGGGGUACAACAGUUGGAAACGACUGCUAAUACCGCAUACUGAAGGAGGGGAUCGCGUCUGAUUAGCUAGUUGGAGGGGUAACGGCCCACCAAGGCGAUGAUCAGUAGGCAGUCUGGGAGGAUGAACGGCGACAUGGAGACUGGGACACGGCACAAACUCCUACGGGAGGGCGCAGUGGGGAAGCUUCCGGAAUGGACGAAAGUCUGACGGAGCAAAGCCGCGUGAGUGAUGACGGCCUUCGGGUGGUAAAGCUAUGUUAAUCGGGACGCGGUACCGGAAUAGAAAGCCACGGCUAACUACGUGCCAGCAGCCGCGGUAAUAC
rnacentral:rRNA from 1 species